UACGUAGGGGGCAAGCGUUGUCCGGAAUUAUUGGGCGUAAAGAGCUCGUAGGCGGUGUGUCGCGUCGGCCGUGAAAACCUGCAGCUUAACUGUGGGCUUGCGGUCGAUACGGGCAUUACUGGAGUUCGGCAGGGGAGACUGGAAUUCCUGGUGUAGCGGUGAAAUGCGCAGAUAUCAGGAGGAACACCGGUGGCGAAGGCGGGUCUCUGGGCCGAUACUGACGCUGAGGAGCGAAAGCGUGGGGAGCGAACAGG
rnacentral:rRNA from 1 species